rfam:Helianthus annuus linkage group 17, whole genome shotgun sequence.
AGACCAUGACGCGGACACUUUCUCAAUAGCUCCUUGAAUCUUUCCCAAGUUUCAUAUAAGGAUUCCCCGUCCUCUUGUGCAUAUGUAUUAACUUUUGGGGCU